rnacentral:lncRNA from 1 species
CUAGUAGUGUACAUAACUCAUUAAUAGGCGCCAAAAGGGGAAGAAAUGAUGGAGGACUAGAAAACGAAAACUCGCCUUUGCCAGUGGCACAUUGAAAGAGCUAUCAUAACAUUAUAGACACAGGUGGCACUACAAUCCAGCAGGAAAAUUGUUGAUUUGCCUUUGUUCCAGUCUGUCCUCGCCAUUCGCUUUCUACGGAAUCCGGGUAAGCAGCUUUGCCAGCAGCACACUGAAAGAGCUAUCAUAACAUUAUAGACACAGGUGGCACUACAAUCCAGCAGGAAAAUUGCUGAUUUGCCCUUGUUCCAGUCUGUCCUCGCCAUUCACUUUGUACGAAAUCCGGAUUCGCAUCGCAAGUGGUUUCUAUGCAGAAGCAAUUCAAAAUCAGAUAUUAGAAUCGCAAAGAAAUAAGAGAGAAUGGUGACUUGUGACAUAAUCCAAGUCUACCAAAGAAUCCUCAAUGUUCCAACCCGGCUGACUAUAGGAUGUUUCAGUAAUGGAUUGAGUGCUUGCUUCCCUGGGGAAGUCCAAUAUGCUAGGUUCAUGUGCACCCAGCCACCCGUUUGUGAGUUUGUACACUUAAAAAAAUACUAAAAAAACCAUGCUGCUACAAAGUACUAAUCUAGGUCCAGGUACAAGAAAUCAUGAAAAAAUAACAUAUGCGUCAUGUACCAAAAAAAAAAGAGAUGUUAAGUUAUAGAACAAAGGGAUGCUCUUAUUCUUUUUCUAUGCAGCACAUAAACUAUAAUAUUCUUUGACAAAUUUGUGUAAAUGUACCUGAUUAACAUUUCAUAGUGCCAUGAUUUUUUUUUUCCGAACUCUUUAAAGUGCACAAGCAAGCAAAUUCGCUAAGGGUUGCCUAUGAACCUAUGUUGCUUCCUUGUCACUGUAUGAAGCAUUUGGCUGUGUAUAGAUAACAAAACCAAUUCUAGACACACACCACCAACAAACAUAGAAGGUAGAACUGAUUGCAAUGUCAGAGAACAGAUGUUUACUCAACAAUAGAAGAGAAGAUUGAAUAAUAACAAAAAUAUACUUAAAGAGUUGAAAUUAAAACCUAG